GUGCUGGAAUUCCCCCUUCGGUAAUUCCUUUUCCUAUAGCGUAUACUAUAGUUGUUGCAGUUUAAAAGCUCGUAGUUGGAUUUCGUGCGGGGACGGAGCGGCCGGACGCUACUUGCGUCUCGAGCUAGCGCUUUCCCCGCAUCCUGCCGCGAACCGCGCUGCCAUUAAUUUGGGGGCGCUGGGGAUCGGUUCGAUUACUUUGACAAAAAUAGAGCGCUCAAAGCACGCCACACGCCUUGAAUAAGUUAGCAUGGAAUAAUGACUAAUGACUUUGGGUCUUUUCGUUGGUGUUCGGGACUGAAGUAAUGAUUGAUAGGUACAGUUGGGGGGGUCCGUAUUCCAUAGAGAGAGGUGAAAUUCUUAUACCUUCGGAAGACCAACAGCUGCUAAAGCGUUCCGCGAGGAUGUUCCCUUUGAUCAGAACGAAUGGUGGGGGAUCGAAGACGAUCAGAUACCGUCGUACUCUCUACUAUAAACUAUACCACCUAGGGAUCGGCCCACGUUUAAUUAUUCGACUUGCUCGGCACCUUAUGAGAAAUCAAAGCAUCUGGAUUCCGGGGGGAGUAUGGUCGCAAGGCUGAAACUUAAAGGAAUUGACGGAAGGGCACCACCAGGCGUGGAGCCUGUGGCUUAAUUUGACUCAACACGGGAAAACUUACCAGGUCCAGACAUAGGAAGGAUUGACAGAUUGAUAGCUCUUUCUUGAUUCUGAGGGUGGUGGUGCAUGGCCGUUUUUAGUCGGUGAAGUGAUUUGUCUGCUUAAUUGCGUUAACGGACGAGACCCCAGCUUGGUAAAUAGCGCGGCCGAGCUUUGCUCGGUACGAGCUUCUUAGAGGGUCCAUGAUGCGCGAUAGCAUAAGGAAGUUUGGGGCAACAAUAGGUCUGUGAUGUCUUUAGAUGUUCUGGGCCGCACACGGGCUACACUGGCGCGUGCAACGAGCAUAUCAGAUGUCCCGAGAGGGUCUAGGUCUAAUCUUUGGAACCGGACACCGUGCUACGGGAUUGUCCAUUGCAAUUGUUGGUCAUGCAACAAGGACUGCCUUGUAAACGCGAGUCAUCAUCUCGCAUAGAAUCCGUCCCUGCCCUUAGUACACACCGACCGUCGCUCCUCCCGAUGAAUGUUCCGAUGAAAUUUUCGGAGAGCGCCGGAGAACGGGGCUCUGCCCUGCAGAUCUGGAGGAUCAAAGUCAUUUAAAUCUGAACAUUUCGAGGAAGGAGAAGUCGUAACAAGGUAGCCGUAAGGGCGAAAAG
rnacentral:rRNA from 1 species